rnacentral:rRNA from 1 species
GUGGGGAUGACGUCAAGUCAUCAUGCCCCUUAUGACCUGGGCUACACACGUGCUACAAUGGACAGUACAACGAGAAGCGAGCCUGCGAAGGCAAGCGAAUCUCUGAAAGCUGUUCUCAGUUCGGACUGCAGUCUGCAACUCGACUGCACGAAGCUGGAAUCGCUAGUAAUCGCGGAUCAGAACGCCGCGGUGAAUACGUUCCCGGGCCUUGUACACACCGCCCGUCACACCAUGGAAGUCUGCAAUGCCCAAAGCCGGUGGCCUAACCUUCGGGAAGGAGCCGUCUAAGGCAGGGCAGAUGACUGGGGUGAAGUCGUAACAAGGUAGCCGUAGGAGAA